rnacentral:lncRNA from 1 species
GAACUAUAAACUGACUACACAGCUCCCUGGCCCGGGAAGGCUAUGAAACAGGCAACAUGGACAAUUUAAAGGUGUACAACAUCCGAGGUUCCAUUUCACCCUCAGGCAGCACGGAGUGGACAAGAGAUGGGGUCUCACUUUGUCACCCAGGCUGGGCUCAAACUCUUGGCUUCAAGCGAUCUUCUCGCCUUGGUCUCCCAAAGUGCUGGGAUUACAGGCUUGAACUACUGUACUCGACUGACUUUUCCUAUUUCUAAUGUCAGCAUGAAGAACACAAGAAGUCAGCUUCAAAGGCAUCCAGCAAUAUCAUCUAUUCUCCACUUUGCUAAAUCUUACCUUUGGCAGAGCCUUCAUGAACAAGAUUGGUACCCAUAUAAAAGAAGCCCGAGAGAGCUAUCUUGACCCUCCUACCAUGUGAAGACACAACAAGGUACCGUCUAUGAACCAGGAAAUGGGCCCUCACCAGACACCUAAUCUGCUGGUGCCUUGAUCUUGGACUUCCCAGCUUCUAGAACUGUGGGAAUUAAAUUUCUAUUGUUUAUAAGCUACCCAGUUUACACUACUUUGUUCUAUCAGCCCAAAAAGCACACCCUGUUUCAAGAUUCUGCAUUCAUUUACUCAUUCAUACAUUCAACCAUAUUUUGUUGGGCACCAAUGAUGCCAGGCACUACUCUAGGUGCUCAGGAUACAAUAAUUAAUAAGGCAGACAAUGCCCUGGCUUCAUGGAGAUAAAUGUGUUGAUGAACAGGAAGUAGAUAGAGUGGUCAGAGAAGGCUGGUGGAGAGCACAGUUGACCAGAGAUCUGAUGGAAGUGAGAAAGCAAACUAUGGGAAUAUCUGGAAAAAGAGCAUUCCAGGCAGAGGAAUGAGCAAGUGGCAAAGAUCCUCAAAUGCCUAUACUUCCAUGGAAGAAGGCCAGUGAGUGAGGAAAAGAGAGGUAGCAAAGGGGAUCAGAGAGGAUACAGGGAUCCAGAUCUCAAAGGGACUUGUAGGUAAUGGCCACCACUUUGGACUUCAUGUUUUCGGAGUGACGGAAAGUCCCUACAGCCUUUCCCAGCCCCUAGCUAAGCCUCUAUUGAUUACUUCUCCUUCUUGUGCUCUUAUCACCUGUACUUUUAUUUACCAGUUAGUCUAUAUUCCAUGGAUUUCUAUUCAUCUCUUGUGUAUCAAUUCUAUGUCCUCAACUAUGUCUCAACGGCAAGAAUCAGUCAUAUUCUCUUCUGUAUUCCCAGGGCCUGGCACCUAACAGAUGCUCAAUAAAUCUUUCCAGAAGGUGAUAAUGAUGAUGUAAUCUCUUAGAAUCUUUUCUAGCUGUUAAGAUCCAUGAUGCCUUUGAACUCUCUCAACAAACUAGUUUGCACAAUGACUCAGAGGACUGACAUCUUUCUAGAUAUUUUGAGAUUAUAUUCAUGCCACUUUUAGAGUCUCCAUCCAUCAAAUGACUAGAAUGAAUUACAUCAGAGUUUUGUCUAAAUGAAGGCUGUGCCACUUGGAAUGGGAUUCCCUUACAUGGAACUACCUACUAAUAUUUGCACUUUAAGCCACCUGAACCUCAGGAGAGUAAUAAAUUGCUAUUAAAUAAAUGCU